rnacentral:rRNA from 1 species
GACGAACGCUGGCGGCGUGCUUAACACAUGCAAGUCGAACGGAAAGGCCCUGCUUGCAGGGUACUCGAGUGGCGAACGGGUGAGUAACACGUGGGUGAUCUGCCCUGCACUUCGGGAUAAGCCUGGGAAACUGGGUCUAAUACCGGAUAGGAGCCAUUUUUAGUGUGAUGGUUGGAAAGUUUUUUCGGUGUAGGAUGAGCUCGCGGCCUAUCAGCUUGUUGGUGGGGUAAUGGCCUACCAAGGCGGCGACGGGUAGCCGGCCUGAGAGGGUGGACGGCCACAUUGGGACUGAGAUACGGCCCAGACUCCUACGGGAGGCAGCAGUGGGGAAUAUUGCACAAUGGGCGCAAGCCUGAUGCAGCGACGCCGCGUGGGGGAUGACGGCCUUCGGGUUGUAAACGCCUUUCGCUAGGGACGAAGCUUUUUGUGACGGUACCAAGAUAAGAAGCACCGGCUAACUACGUG